CACGUAGUUGGCCGUGGCUUUCUGAUUAGGUACCGUCAAGAUGUGCACAGUUACUUACACAUUUGUUCUUCCCUAAUAACAGAGUUUUACGAGCCGAAACCCUUCAUCACUCACGCGGCGUUGCUCCGUCAGGCUUUCGCCCAUUGCGGAAGAUUCCCUACUGCUGCCUCCCGUAGGAGUCUGGACCGUGUCUCAGUUCCAGUGUGGCCGAUCACCCUCUCAGGUCGGCUACGUAUCGUCGCCUUGGUAAGCCGUUACCUUACCAACUAGCUAAUACGGCGCGGGUCCAUCUAUAAGUGAUAGCAAAACCAUCUUUCACUUUAGAACCAUGCGGUUCUAAAUGUUAUCCGGUAUUAGCUCCGGUUUCCCGAAGUUAUCCCAGUCUUAUAGGUAGGUUACCCACGUGUUACUCACCCGUCCGCCGCUAACUUCAAAGGAGCAAGCUCCUUAUCUGUUCGCUCGACUUGCAUGUAUUAGGCACGCCGCCAGCGUUCAUCCUGAGCCAGGAUCAAACUCU
rnacentral:rRNA from 1 species